rnacentral:lncRNA from 1 species
AUGAAAAAAAACAAUAAAAUCACUACAAAUAAACAAAAACUAUUAGAAACAUAUACAAAUAAGCAACAUACUACAUUAACCCCAUUAAAACAUGAAUGUAACUAUAAUAAUAUUAGGGCCUACGACGAUAAUAAUUUUUAUUUUAAUGACAUUAAACUGAAUGAAACAAAUGACACUUUAUGUAUAAAUAAGAAUUAUGAUAAUAUUAAUAUCAUGCAUAUUAACAGUAAUAAUAUUAAUAAAAAUAAUAACAAUCCGCAAUAUUUGUCAAUACAACAACCAAAUGUAUACAUUUCUAAAAAUAAUUUUGAAUAUAACAAUAAAGAAGUAUGUAAAAUACCUAAUUGUUCUCAAAAUAUAGAAAACAGUAUAUUUAACGAAUCUAAAAAUACAGAAUUUUUUAACCCGAUGUGUGUUAAAAGUUUAUGCGGUUCAAAAUGUACUAAUCCUAACUGCGAGUUGGAAUUUAAAAAUUACAAUCCCAGUUGUAACUGCAAACAAUUAUUAGAAAAAAAUAAUGAACAUUCAGGUAUACAGGUACAAACAAACAAACCACUUUACAAAAAUGCAUAUUUAAAUACUUCUUACAGAUCAAACCACAAUGAUAAUAUAGAAAGAAUAGAAAUAAACAAAAUAGACGAAGCGAGAGAUGAAGAACUAGAAGAAGAAAGAGACAAAAAUAUUAGCGAUUAUAGUAUUAACAAUAAGUAUACGAAAAGUAUCCAUACUUUUGAUAAAAAAAAUAAAUAUGAAAAAAAUCAUAAAAAAAUAAAAGAACAAUUAACUGAUUAUUCAAAUGACAAUUCCAUUAUGAGUAACUCAUACCAAUACAAUUUAAGCAACUCUUCAUUAUUACAAAAUGUAUCGAAUGAUAAAAAUAAUCAAAAAAUUAAAAAAAAAGGUAGUGAUAUGUUAUUAUAUCCAUCUAAUAAGAGUCAUAACUCUAUCGAUUCAUCAAUGACCAUAAUAUAUGAAAAAAAUAAAAACAAUAACUAUAUACAACAUAAUAAUAACAAAAACAACCAUAAAGGUAUUCAUAAUAUUAGUCAUCUUAAGGAUAAUAGCAACGAAUAUAUUAAUAAUAUAGUUUAUUCAAAUGAUACGUAUCAAAUGAAUAAGCAUAAUUCAAAUAUAUACAAAACGGUAAAAAAAACAAUAUACGAUUCUUGUGAAGCAGAAAAAAAAAAAAAUGGACAUAUUUAUUCAAACAGAUAA